GGUGAGUAACACGUAGGUAACCUGCCCAGAAGCGGGGGACAACAUUUGGAAACAGAUGCUAAUACCGCAUAACAACGUUGUUCGCAUGAACAACGCUUAAAAGAUGGCUUCUCGCUAUCACUUCUGGAUGGACCUGCGGUGCAUUAGCUUGUUGGUGGGGUAACGGCCUACCAAGGCGAUGAUGCAUAGCCGAGUUGAGAGACUGAUCGGCCACAAUGGGACUGAGACACGGCCCAUACUCCUACGGGAGGCAGCAGUAGGGAAUCUUCCACAAUGGGCGCAAGCCUGAUGGAGCAACACCGCGUGAGUGAAGAAGGGUUUCGGCUCGUAAAGCUCUGUUGUUAAAGAAGAACACGUAUGAGAGUAACUGUUCAUACGUUGACGGUAUUUAACCAGAAAGUCACGGCUAACUACGUGCCAGCAGCCGCGGUAAUACGUAGGUGGCAAGCGUUAUCCGGAUUUAUUGGGCGUAAAGAGAGUGCAGGCGGUUUUCUAAGUCUGAUGUGAAAGCCUUCGGCUUAACCGGAGAAGUGCAUCGGAAACUGGAUAACUUGAGUGCAGAAGAGGGUAGUGGAACUCCAUGUGUAGCGGUGGAAUGCGUAGAUAUAUGGAAGAACACCAGUGGCGAAGGCGGCUACCUGGUCUGCAACUGACGCUGAGACUCGAAAGCAUGGGUAGCGAACAGGAUUAGAUACCCUGGUAGUCCAUGCCGUAAACGAUGAGUGCUAGGUGUUGGAAGGGUUUCCGCCCUUCAGUGCCGGAGCUAACGCAUUAAGCACUCCGCCUGGGGGAGUACGACCGCAGGGUUGAAACUCAAAGGAAUUGACGGGGGGCCCGCACAAGCGGUGG
rnacentral:rRNA from 1 species